rnacentral:rRNA from 1 species
GACAGAGGGUGCAAACGUUGUUCGGAAUUACUGGGCGUAAAGCGCGUGUAGGCGGCUAAGUAAGUCGGGCGUGAAAUCCCACGGCUCAACCGUGGAAGUGCACUCGAAACUGCAUAGCUAGAGUCCUGGAGAGGAAGGUGGAAUGCUUGGUGUAGAGGUGAAAUUCGUAGAGAUCAGGUGGAACACCGGAGGCGAAGGCGCCUGCCUGGCAGUGUAUUGACGCUGAGGUGCGAAAGUGCGGGGAGCAAACAGG